GAUCCUCCUGCCUCAGCCUCCCAAGUAGCUGGGACUACAGAAUAUGAUUUCUAUAUGCCCUGCAAAAGUACACCACGGAGCAUGCUGGAAGUGAAUCAGGCCUACUACUGAAAGAAGAGAUUGGAUUUACAGCAGCUUUGAAGAUUUUAUUCUGGUGUAGACAUCAUCAUCGUGGGAAGCUCCUCAGGACAUGGUGAUAAAAAGCAGAGACCAGACGUUCCAGAGAUUUGAAUCUGUCGGGGGUCUCCAUUUGGGGCCAUGAUCCGUCUUCUCCCGGGCUGAUGCCCCUUCAGCCACCCUGGCAGAGAAAUCCUGUGAUGCUCAAGCACGUCUCCCUGUCAGAUGAGCCAGGCAGAGAGGAGGAGACAGCCAGAGGAGCCUCACUGAAAUCACUGAGGCAUAAAAUAAGUUACCUUUGGAGCAACGUUUAAUGCAUAUAUUUAUACUGACGUUGGAGUUAUGUACUUGGCUCUAAAAAUCCUCUUCCCUACACAUGGAGACUGCCUGAGGCCUCAUCCAUCCAUGCCUCAUAAGGUAUCUGGAGGCCCACAGUUGAUGGAACUAUGUUACCUGAGUAACAUACUUUGGCAUUGCAAGUAUUUUUAUAUGAGAAGCACAGUUCUGUUGUCUUGCCUCUCUGUAGUUAGAAAAAUGAACUGAGCUAAGAAAGCAACAGAAUAGAUUUCAAAUUUGCUUAACCUGUGUUUUGUAACAGUGGGUGUUUAAGCAUUACAUUGAAUUAUUUAGGGUUUCUGAGAAAUCCACUUCCUCCUGAGAAAUCUAAAAGCCAGACAUUCCUAGCCAGAAUACAUUUGAGAAAAAUCUGCCACAAGACAAAAUGUUGAAUGAAGGUCCAUCUUCCGUUUUAACUCAUAGAAUCUCCCCUCUAACAAUUAACUGGAUAAAAAAAAAAAAACAUA